rnacentral:rRNA from 1 species
UACGUAGGUGGCAAGCGUUGUCCGGAAUCACUGGGCGUAAAGGGUACGUAGGCGGAUAAGCAAGUUAGAAGUGAAAUCCUAUAGCUCAACUAUAGUAAGCUUUUAAAACUGCUCAUCUUGAGGUAUGGAAGGGAAAGUGGAAUUCCUAGUGUAGCGGUGAAAUGCGUAGAGAUGUGGAGGAAUACCGGUGGCGAAGGCGGCCCCCUGGACAAAGACUGACGCUCAGGUGCGAAAGCGUGGGGAGCAAACAGG